AUACUACUCCCUCCGUUCCGAAUUACUUGUCGCAGAAAUAGUUGUAUCUAGACAUAUUUUUAGUUUUACAUACAUUCAUUUCUAUACAUUUCUACGGUAAAUAAUUCAGGACGGAGGAAGUAUUGA
rfam:Triticum aestivum genome assembly, contig: Triticum_aestivum_CS42_TGACv1_scaffold_423469_5BS